GUGCUUGCUUUGGCAGCACAUAUGCUAAAAUUCAGUGAUACAGAGAAGAUAAGCAUGGCUCCUGUGCCUAGGAUGACACACAAAUUCAUGAAGCAUUUCAUAUUUUU